GUUAUAGUCAGCCCAUGAGCCCAAGAGAGAAGAAAAGUUGGCUGUAUUAAACAGUUGAACCUGUGCGGCGCGAAUUUCUUUGGUGACAGAAGGCGUGUCAGCCAUUUUGUAGCCGACUUCAUCCAUGACCCGUAAGGAAAGCUCCUGGCCACCUUCCUUCACCAGUAUCAUCACAUCUUCCAAAGAACAAUUUGGACGUGUCAGAUUUCGACCCGACUUGACUGAUGAAGGUGCCAGGACGCUGUGGGACGCAACCGAGGUUGAAGCCGAAUCCCAAGGGACCUUUUUGGAAGGAGCAGACUCUGCCGGGCUUGGACGGGUCACGUGUGGCAUUUUGUAGCAGCGACUCCACCGGCUCCUCGUUGACCUCCAGCAGCACCUCGCCGUCACGCAUCCCCGCUCUCUCGGCUGGACUGCCGGCGUCCACCUUACGCAGCAUGUGAGCUGUAGUCGGCGAAUAAACGGUCAAGAAGGACAAGAAGGCACCAUUUUGUUCAGGUGUGAAGCUGAUGCCCAGACCGGAGACAGGAUCCCUGAUGAUGUGACACAGUCUGGGUGGCUCCAAGUCUUCGCUCUUAUGCGCUCGGACGCAGAUGGAAGCCGUAAGAUUGGCCUUCCUCCUUUUUCAGCACGCAGAGACGUGGCCUGGGGGUCGACUCUGGGGGAGGAAAAGUCCUUGAACGGCCUUAUUCCAACACGGGACCGUUAGAAGCUGAUGGACGUGUUACCUUCCGUGAUGACCAUCAGUGGGUUGUCUAUUCCCUCUUUAGGAUUAAAUGUAAACUUCCUUCACAGAAAAAAGUCAAGUCAGAUCAUGUGUAAGUUCAAUGUAGAAUAAAAAAAAAAAAAGGGAAUUACAUGUCAAAGUGAGCAAAAACAUACAGAAUUCCUGACUAUACAAAUAGAAAAAAAUCUAAUUUAACAAAAAUAAUUAAAUAAUAAUUAUUAAUUAUUUUCUUAUUUUAAUUAUUUUUAUAAUAUAAUGUUUUUUAUGUUAUAAAUAUAAUUUUUAUAAUAUAAAUAUAAAAAUUUCAUAAUCUAAAAAUUAUAUAUAAUAUAAUAAUAUUUUAUAAUUAUAAAAAAUAAUUAUAUAUAAAACAAAACAGCAAAAAAAAACAAAAAAAUGAAAAGUUGUAUUAAAAAUGUUAAAAAACAGACACAAUAUAUAAGUUAUAUUAUUAUUAUCAUUAUUAUUAUUAUUAGACACAACAAGUAUUACCUGAAUAAAGUCAAAAUAUUAUAAUUACAAGAAGAAAAAUGUAAAGAGGAAAAGUACAAAAAAAUGGAAAAAAGCCCAAAUAUUAACAUUAAUAUUUUAUUAAUUAAUUAAUAUUAAUAUUUUAAAAUUCAGAAUCAAAUGAGGAAAAAAGUCACAAUUUUACAGGAAUGAACUGGUAAUAUAAACAAGGAAGAAUUAUGUCAUUUUAGUAGCAUAUAGAGGUGAAAUAAUUAAAGCAAAAAGAUGUGUGUGUGGUUGUAAAGGAUAUAAUAUUAUUUUUAAUAAACAAAAAAUACAUCAUUUUUGAAAAAUUAGAUUGGGGAAAAAAUUAUAAUAUUAUGCGAAUAAAGUCAAAAUAUUGUGGGAAUAAAGUCCCUAUUAUAAGAACAUUUACAGUUGAGAUAGUAGCUGCAAUUUUACAAGAAUUUUCCCUUUUUAGCGUAUUUAUAUGUGCUGCUUUCACUUUUUGCUAUGUGACCUUCGCUGGGAAAGGUUUGGACACCCCUGAUGUAAACAGUUCAGACCUUUCAUUUCCACCAAUCCUUCAAAAACAAAGAUCAAUUCAAGUGAUUGUCUUUGCAGCAAAGCAUUGAAAUCACGAUAUGGAGGUCGAGUAUACAUACGUAUCAACUUACAGCUCUCUGGAUGUCAGUCCAGGUCCACUCGGCUGAGGCAUGGGUUUUCCAGAGAAGCCGUUUUUGAGCCUGCCAGGGAGUACAAAUGCGAGCACACUUCAGCUGAAGUACUAUCAUAAAGGAGGGUUUAACUUCAGAUGAAUAAUCUUUUGUCCUUGUACUCUCGGAAAGGGUUGGGAUCUCCUAGAACAGUGUUAAUCAUUUGUGGUUAACUGAUAAAGAAAGUAGUUUUCCUAGAAACUACAGACAGCACUGCCGGAUAAAAUACAAUACCGGUACACGCCUUUAUUGCAUUAUUUAUUUUUUACUGGAAGUGAACCUCAAGUAAAUGCAAACGGAUGCACUUGAGCAUAUCAACUCUAAACCUACAUGAAUUGAGAUCUAUCAGUCUGGAAAAGGUCAUAAAGCCACUUAUAAAGCUUUGGGACUCCAGCCAACCACAGCGAGAGCAAUCAUUCACAAAUGACGAAAACAUGGAACAUUGAUGAACCUUCCCAGGAGUGGUCGCCGAACCAAAAUGACCCCAAGAACGUAACAUGGCCUCAUCUCAAGGGGUCACAAAAGACCCCACAACAACAUGCAAAGAAUCAUUUUACUGGAAAUGAACCUCACGUCAAUGCAAACGGAUGCACUUGAGCAUAUCAACUCUAAACCUACAUGAAUUGAGAUCGAUCAGUCUGGAAAAGGUCAUAAAGCCACUUCUAAAGCUUUGGGACUCCAGCCAACUACAGCAAGAGACAUUAUUCACAAAUGGCGAAAACAUGGAACAUUGGUGAACCUUCCCAGGAGUGGUCGCCGGACCAAAAUGACCCCAAGAACGUAACGUCGCCUCAUCUCAAGAGGUCACAAAAGACCCCACAACAACAUGCAAAGAAUCAUUUUACUGGAAAUGAACCUCACGUCAAUGCAAACGGAUGCACUUGAGCAUAUCAACUCUAAACCUACAUGAAUUGAGAUAUAUCAGUCUGGAAAAGGUCAUAAAGCCACUUCUAAAGCUUUGGGACUCCAGCCAAGCACAGCGAGAGCAAUCAUUCACAAAUGGCGAAAACAUCUUCAGAGCUUCAAGGAACUACGGCCUGAUAUUCCUGUAUGCAUUGUCAUCUUACCCUGGCUCGCUAAUCUCUCACUGCUUAUCUAUUUGACUAACCGUGUCAGCAACAGCUCGUCCAUUUCUGCCGUGUGCACGACUUCUUAUCACGCGUUCUAUCAUAGUCUUUUUAAGGCGAAUAUGCCCAUAAAUAGGAGUUUACACAGGGAAGCCAUGAAAACAAAAAAUAACAUAAUAAUAAUAAUAUAAUAGAGACCAUAAUAAAAUAUGCAGUGACUGUACCUGACAUCAUGCUGUGCCCCAGUGUCACCACACGGAGAAAAAAGUAGGAGGCAUCCAAAAUAGAGACGCUCCUCCCCCCAGGGCGCCAAGGGGCAAGGCAAUGUUUAAACUGUUCCUGCUGAACCUUCAAUUCCAACAAAGUCGCUCACUUUCCGACUUCAUGCGCUGUAUUGCUUUAUCUGUGCGUCGUCACCAGGUUCAAGGUUGCACAGGCACUCGGGAGCCAUCUUGGUCUCGGUCGAUGCUAUAGUGCAAGGUGCAGGUGACAAUAAAAAUCAAAACACAAAUACUGUAUGCUCAGGCAGCAUUUAUUAACUGGGCUGUUUCAUGUUGAUUUUUUGUACAUAUUUAUAUUUUUAUAUUAUGGGAUAGGCUCCAGCACCCCCCGCGACCCUCGUGAGGAAAAAGCGGUAGAAAAUGAAUGAAUGAAUAUAUUUUUUUAUAAUAUAUUGUAUAUAUUUUAAAAAGUCAUUUAAAAAAGCAAAAU